rnacentral:lncRNA from 1 species
ACUGGAAAAUAGUUGCAGUUUUCUAGCUCAUACACGGAAAGAAGACUUAAAAGCUGAUUUUACGAUGAUGUCGUGAGUCAAAAAUAAAACAUUGUACCAAAGGAUGUGAAUCUGCAGGUGUGCCACUGCAUAGCACCCACACACAUACAAUGAUGAGUAACUCAAACUCGAAUCUGUAUGUGUUAAUCUUCUCAAGGCUUUGAAGAGAUGUGGCUAACCUAAAAUCCCAACCUAUUGAUGUCUAAAUGCUACAGUCCCACUACAUAUUUUAACAAACAACAACCAAUUCGGUCCAACAGAACCACCACCACCAAUUAAUACUUUACCCAUUGAUUUGUCAGCUGUGAUGUCUAAGAUAAAGCAGAAAUUCACAAGCUCAAAGAAAAUGCAUACCUCAAUAACCACAUUAUUGAUAAAAGAGCCAUAUAACAGAACUUUAAGCUAACAUUUUCCUUCCAGUAUGUUCAUAUCUUCAAUUAUUUCCUUUGCUCUCUCAUAUACAAGUAAUUAUGACAUGAAGCAUAAACAAUAAUCAUAGGGCUUCAAAUUUUGAUUACGGUCUUCACAAGAAAGUCAUUUUAGAACCCAACAUAACAGAAACAAUUGCCUCUCUUUGCAAGAUUACUGCAAUUUACUGAUGUGCAUCGCCAAGUGAUUUUACCCAUAUCCAUCACAAUAUCAGCUCAACCUUUUUUCAAUAGUGUUAGCAAUAAUGCUUCUUCUAAUUGCCCAAGAUUUUACCCAAGCAUACAUCCACCCGUCUCACUUGUGUUCCCAUGAUCAUCACUGACUCCAGUAGUUCUGUUUCAGAUGAACAAAUUAUUUUCUUCUUGUAUUUAACUUGGAGUUCUUUGAAUUUUUUUCACAAGUAUAUCGUCCAAAUGUUCCUCAUACUGAAAACCAUUAGUGCUUUCCUCCAAAACAUUAAUUCUACAUUAUAAAAAGCUGCCCCUCAAACUGCAGGAAAAAAUAUUGGCCUCCUAAUACUCAUACUUCUCAGCGCUAAAUGGUGUUAAUGGAGUAUCAUUUUCAGGAGGAACAUAAUAGCUCAAUUAAAAACAUGAUCCCUUGUUGCCAGAAUCUUCAUACUCAUGAUUGAAUACUAAGAACUCUGAAGGUGGAAGUUUAAGAUGCAUAGUUGGAUUCAUGGAUCAGGUCCAUCGGUCCAGGUCAAGAAACUUGGCCUAUAUAGAUGUCAGUUCAAGUUCAAGUCCAGCAAAUGUUCCUUUGGUUCCAUUCCCAACUCACUAGACCCAUUCCCAGCACUACUGAAUUCCUCUAUAACUUUAACCAGAAACAAAAACCUGGAAGUCACAUAUAUGAAUCAACAGUUGCAAUGCAUCAAACCUCCAUAGAAGUUCUCCAACCCAUGCAGAAAUCUUAAUUAAUCACGGCAACAUUUCUUCGCUAGAAAGAUGAUGAGAACCAACACAAGAAUAUUGCUUUACCCUAUUAAUUCUAGAAAAGUUGUUCCUUUCCACAAUGUCCAGCAUAUCCGUGAUCAUGCUUAAAACAGGAAUAAUUAUAAUAAACAUCACUAAGAUCAGCCAUCAGACUUCACAAACUGUAAAUCAAUCAUGUUCUGCCUUCUGUCACAUGUAUAUGUAUAUAUAUAUAUAUACAUAUAUACAUAUAUAUAUGUAUAUGUAUAUAUAUACGUACAUAUAUAUACACAUAUAUAUAUACAUAUAUAUAUAUAUGUAUAUGUAUAUAUAUACAUACAUACAUAUAUAUAUAUGUGUGUGUGUAUAUAUAAACCCUCC